CCAGCUUUACUCCACGAAACUGUGUACUGUCCAGAGACUUAAGAACAAUUCCCUCCCUUUCACACAAGAGACAGCAACUUGUACCAACACCCAAGAGAAACAGAAUAUAUACCCGGAAUCGAGGGCCACCGAUCUGAGAAACGGAAAUCCGAGGAAGAGAGAGAGAGGAGGCAAGAAAAUAAAUCCCAAUGAUCUGCCGCACUGUGGCGGCCUCUAUACUUGUAAUUGGCUCCGUGAGAGCGCGUCCGCGGCGAUGAUUGUCGCCAACCAGUCGAUAUACAUCACACGAAAGACACGGAUGCGCACGCGCGCGGGCUAUUCUCACUACUGAAAGGACCCCAAACGAGAAACGAGGAGAAGAGGUUGGAAACGUGCGCCAGUCGAAGCAAAGAUAGCGCUGACAAGCGGCCACCGGGAACCCUCGCGUGCAACUUCGUUUCUUCUUCUCUUGAUUCUGCUUCCCUUACCACGCUCGGUUUCCAUCUUUAAAAGGGGCUAUCGAUACCUUCUUUCUCGAUACAGUCUGGCAUGAAUCGAAGUCGUCACCGCUAAUUUGGUGUUGAUGCGGUAUUCUAUGAUUUCUUAGUUCAGGAUUCGUAGAAAGUAAGGUUAGUGACGUAAAGUUGUUGUUAUUGAUGCGAUUAGUUUAUAAACGAUGAAAUCAUAUUGAUAAAUAGAUCUUUACCAUUUCUAAAAAUUUCUAAAUUCCAUUUUUCAAGAUUUUUGUUAUCUGUUAUCUAUCUAUUACGUUUAUUAAGAAAAAAAGAGGGAAAACUGAACAGAGGAAGAAAAAAGAAAAGAUAUAGAUGGUAACCUCCAUAUAUGAUUACAAGCACAUGAAAUUUCAAUCGACGUGAAUCGUUACGUGUUACGAGAUGGUAUGAGACACCUUUUUUCAUCUCGUCAGCAUCGGUGCCAUGUACGUAGUGGAUGUCGGCGUCGGCGAGGACAUGGCUUGGUCCAGUGUCGCCAAGACGCAUUGCGCGUCGCGUUAUCGGCAAAAAGGCCGGCUUUCCAAUUGGAUUUAUUCGCUUAACGAGUGUAGAUUCCGUCGCGCCGGCUAUGGCCAGGACAAAUGGCGCGCGCGUCGUACGCUGCGCUGCUUGUAGCUGGAACAAGAGAAUUCCGUUACGAGUGGAAAGCGUUGCUGGGAAUUGCCGGUGACAACGUUACGAGUUGGAUCGUAGGGAACGAGAAAAGACCGAUUCAAUUUGUGUUCGUUAGUAUUUGAAAUUAAAGAUGAUUGAAUUUGAUUCUUCAAGUUUUGCAUCAAGUAUUUUUUGAUAUAAAAUAUAUUUAUUGUUGAAACAUCCUAUAAUCAUAAUAUAGUCACAAAUAUAAAUAUAGCUUAAAUAAUUUCUGGAAAUUCAACAAAAAAAGAAAAUAAAUAUGAGUGAAAUAAUAAUAUUCAUGAUGUAUUGACAUGUGUUGAAACAAUUAAUGGUUGGUAUAAAGAUUUGACAUGCUCGAAGCUCAUUUUGAGGUUCCAUUUUCAAGAAUUGGUGGAGAUAGUUACAGAUAUUUAAAUGAGUAAUAUUAUGUGUCCUAAUAAGACAAUAACGUUGCCAUCUAAUAAGAAGAUUGAGUAAAGAAGUUCUCAAAAUUUUCGAAGUCCAUCAAGUUUCAUCAGGGGAAACAGAAGUUAGCCUGCACGUGAUUCCGUGAUCUGCCGUUGCAUUGUUUUGCCCAGUCACACAGAAAAAGAGGUGCAUUACGUAUGGCGAUUGCGUCAGGGUGAUAUCGUCAUCGGACAGGGCAAACACGACUUUAGCCUUCUCGGUCGGGGACACGAGCAAGGAGAGCAGAGGUGCGUGUCCCGACACGGCUUGCCCAUUAGGUGGACCCGCCGCGGCAUCAGAUUAGAUUCCGUUUCGUUCGUCCGCAACAAUGCCAGUGAACCGCGAUGCAUCGCCGGAACGGCGACGUUCCAGUUAACGUGUUUCCUGGAUUCGUGAAUCCUCGACUAACUGGCCUCGUUGGGACACUCAUCUUUUUGCUCAUGAUCCUCUUUUUUUUUAGAGAUUUUGAUGAUAGAUGUUUAUUCUUUUUAUUGACAGAGAUUAUUAUUAUUUUUGUGGCUUGUAAAAUUUAGGAUAAUAAAAAUGUUGAGUUAUUA